rnacentral:rRNA from 1 species
GACGAACGCUGGCGGCGUGCUUAACACAUGCAAGUCGAACGGAAAGGCCCUGCUUUUGUGGGGUGCUCGAGUGGCGAACGGGUGAGUAACACGCGAGUAACCUGCACUUGACUUUGGGAUAACUCCAGGAAACUGGGGCUAAUACCGGAUAGGAGCUCUUGCUGCAUGGUGGGGGUUGGAAAGUUUCGGCGGUUGGGGAUGGACUCGCGGCUUAUCAGCUUGUUGGUGGGGUAGUGGCUUACCAAGGCUUUGACGGGUAGCCGGCCUGAGAGGGUGACCGGCCACAUUGGGACUGAGAUACGGCCCAGACUCCUACGGGAGGCAGCAGUGGAGAAUAUUGCACAAUGAGCGGAAGCCUGAUGCAGCAACGCCGCGUGCGGGAUGACGUCCUUCGAGUUAUAAACCGCUUUCUCCUGUGACGAAGCGUGAUUGACGGUAAUGGGUAAAGAAGCACCGGCUAACUACGUG